rnacentral:rRNA from 1 species
AGUGAACGCUGGCGGUCGGCCUAACACAUGCAAGUCGAACGGUAGCACAGUAACAGCUUUCUCUUACUGGUGGCGAGUGGCGGACGGGUGAGGAAUACAUCGGAAUCUACAUUUUCGUGGAGGAUAACGUAGGGAAACUUACGCUAAUAUCGCAUACGACCUACGGGUGCAAGCACGGGAUCUUCGGACCUUGCUCGCUUCCAUGAGCCCAUGUCGGAUUAUCUAUUUUGCGGGGUAAAGGCCCACCAAGGCGACGAACCUUAGCCAGUCUGAGCGGUUGGUCCGCAACACUGGAACUGGGAAGCGGUCCAGACUCCAACGGUAGCCACCAGAGGGCAUCGUUGGACAUUGGGCGCAAGCCUGACCCAGCCAUCCCGCUUGGUGGAAGAAGGCUUUCGAGUUGUAAGGCCCUUUUGUUGGGAAAGAAAAGCAGGAGAUUUAUAACUCGCCGUUCUGACGGUACCUUAGUAAUAAGCACCGGCUAACUUCGUG